UACAGAGGGGGCAAGCGUUAUUCGGAAUUAUUGGGCGUAAAGGGCGCGUAGGCGGCCUGGCAAGUGGAAGGUGAAAUCCCUCGGCUUAACCGAGGAACUGCCUCCCAAACUGCUUGGCUUGAGACCGGGAGAGGUGAGUGGAAUUCCCAGUGUAGCGGUGAAAUGCGUAGAUAUUGGGAGGAACACCAGUGGCGAAGGCGGCUCACUGGACCGGUACUGACGCUGAUGCGCGAAAGCGUGGGGAGCGAACAGG
rnacentral:rRNA from 1 species